GAUGAACGCUGGCGGCGUGCCUAAUACAUGCAAGUCGAGCGAACAGAUGAGGAGCUUGCUCCUCUGACGUUAGCGGCGGACGGGUGAGUAACACGUGGAUAACCUACCUAUAAGACUGGGAUAACUUCGGGAAACCGGAGCUAAUACCGGAUAAUAUAUUGAACCGCAUGGUUCAAUAGUGAAAGACGGUUUUGCUGUCGCGUAUGGAUGGAUCCGCGGCGCAUUAGCUUGUUGGUAAGGUAACGGCUUACCAAGGCAACGAUGCGUAGCCGACCUGAGAGGGUGACCCGCCGCACUGGGCCUGAGCGGAGGCCCAGACGCGUACGGGACGCAAAAGGGGGAAAUCUUGCAGGAUGAGCGGCAGCGGGAUGAAGAAACGCCGCGUGCGGGAAAACUGCUUUCGGGUGGAAAACCAAUUUCGCAUGUAACGAAGCGUGAGUGACGGUAAUGGAUAAAGAAGCCCCGGCUAACUACGUG
rnacentral:rRNA from 1 species